rnacentral:lncRNA from 1 species
AGGAACUCGCCGCCUCGCCUGCUCCGCAUGUGGCAACGCUGCUGGCUAAUCACUAGUUUUUUUUUUAAUUUUUAAACUCCAUUCUUCUUCCAAAGCAGUGCCUAAAGUUUAACCAAAAAGACUAGACUAAUAUAUUAAUAUAUACGAUUGUUCUGACAGUAUUUGUAUAUUAAGAGAUGAGAGAGAAAACACACUACCCUCCCAGAUCUGCCGCCCCGGGAGCCUGCUGCCGUUCCUGCCCUCUGCAGAGCCGAUCCCACCCAGCCGCUCGGAGACGGCGAGGCAGAGCCGGAAAACAGGAAAACAGUUCCGUCUUUUUGGUCUAACCACUUAGUGACUCUUUUGUAAUUAACCCUGCCGGCUUCAUCCCCUGCAUCCCGAAGGAGGAGACGACCCUGUCCCCGCAGCGUGCCGCAGCUGACAUGCUGGCAGAACGGAGGAGGACAUCGCAGGCUCCCCGCCACUCGGCGCCAGACAGCCACUUCACACCGGCCCUGGAGCUGUUGCCUGGACCCCUUCCACCCGCCCUCAGCAUGGCGAGGAGGGGGCUCUGUGCCCCAGCUCCUGAGCUGUCCCAGCUCCCUGGCUUGGCCUCCCGGCACAUCCCCACCACCACGCCGUGGAGCCGAUGCCCCGACCACAUCUUUUUCCAGUCCCACCAAAGAAGUCCCCUUGCCGCUGGGCGAGUUCCUUAGCUGGGUCUCCGACAUCAGCAAGUCGUGGAUGGGCUCGAGGGGAGCUUGGGACGCGGCAGCUCUUCGGCCGUGCUCACCGGCACAGUGUUGCUGGAUGUCCAUCCCAACUCCCCUCACCGCUGCCACGGAGCCCGUACCCCCGCCCUGGGGCAAGUGGGACCGCACUUGAGGACACUGGGACAUGCUCCCUCUCCCUUUGCACUUGCCAGAGUCCCUGGGCAGAGACCGGGGGCCGCGCUGCCCGGGUGCGGGAGCUGCCCUGCAGCACCGGAGCCCCCCGGCCGGCAGCGGGGUGCCCCGGCCCAUCUGCUGCCCCUGGCCCCUGGCAGCACGCAGCCCCCGUCCCCCCACCACACUCCACCGGGCCCCCAGGCAGGGGCUGAAGCAAUAAGUGACGCAGUGGUGGGGCUGUGCCAGCUCGGGCCGUCGGGGCCGUAGCCCCCCGCGUUCAGCCUGGCUGACCCCGGCCCCCCGAGAGGCACCCACGCGGUCGCCUGUCCCUCUCCCCUCGCCCCAUGCCAGCGUGCUCGAGGUGCACCCCCUCCUCCCCAGGGACGGCCUCCCGGCACGGUGCUACGGCUCACCUGCGGAUCUCCACAGCACCUCUCCUCCUUCCCGCCUGCUCUCAUUUGCCACGUGUAAAUCGAGUCAUGUUAUUCCUCAGCAUUCGUUACUAUUAUUCUCAUUAUCCAGUUUUGCUUUUGCAUGACAUGCUAAUGUGGGCGACUCUGUACCAUAGCCCAGCCUGAGCCAGGGCUCCCGCUCCCUCGGGGCCCUGCGCUCCCCUGAUUUCCCAAUCAUUUCUCAUCAGGGCAGCCGGGGCUGAUCGAUAAUCCAAAAACAUCUCUUUUUGGGGGCAAAAACACUAAAACCUGACUUGUAUAUACCGUGAAGUGUUUGUAAAACAUGCAGUAUGGACCCAUGGCUCUCCCUAGUGAGGUCAGUAAAAGAGAUCCUAUGAAACCAGCCGGCAGCUCCGCGUGGUCUGUUCGCCCUCGCUGCUCCCCAUGGGCAGCCGUGCCUCAGCCUCGUCACUGCGGGUGCA